rnacentral:rRNA from 1 species
AACGAACGCUGGCGGCAUGCCUAACACAUGCCAGUCGAACGAGACCUUCGGGUCUAGUGGCGCACGGGUGCGUAACGCGUGGGAACCUGCCCUUAGGUUUGGAAUAACUCCCCGAAAGGGGUGCUAAUACCGGAUAAUGUCUUCGGACCAAAGAUUUAUCGCCUUUGGAUGGGCCCGCGUUGGAUUAGCUAGUUGGUAGGGUAAAAGCCUACCAAGGCGACGAUCCAUAGCUGGUCUGAGAGGAUGAUCAGCCACACUGGGACUGAGACACGGCCCAGACUCCUACGGGAGGCAGCAGUGGGGAAUAUUGGACAAUGGGCGAAAGCCUGAUCCAGCAAUGCCGCGUGAGUGAUGAAGGCCUUAGGGUUGUAAAGCUCUUUUACCCGGGAUGAUAAUGACAGUACCGGGAGAAUAAGCACCGGCUAACUCCGUG